rnacentral:lncRNA from 1 species
CAACAUUAUUUUUCAGUGGUCUUAGAAAUCUGAAGAGGUCCCACUUGAGUGAAAGUUGGAAAACAUUGCUUCUAUUUUCAAGAAGAGCAAUGGAGAAGACCCUGGUAAUUAUGGACCUGUCAAUCCCACCUGCAAAAAUGAUGGAGAAAAUUACGCUGAAAAACAAUGUCAUCACUGCUCACAGGCAGCGUGGGUUCAUGAAGGAAAAGUAACUUGGAUUCCUUCUCAAAGGGCACCGGUCCCAUUCCCCGUGACUUACCAAAGAUGAUGGAAAGCGGCCUAGCAAUGACUUCCACCAGCUCCCUCAGCACCCACUGAUGCAUCCCAUCAGGGCCCAUGGAUUUAUGGAUGUCCAGAUUGCUUAACUGGUCCAUAACCCGGUCUUCAUCAACCACAUGAGAUCCUGAACUCCACUACAUCAUGGUCGCUGCAACUAAGGCUGCCCUCAACCUUCACUGCUUCAAUCGGACCCUCCUUAUUAGUGAGAAUAAAAUCCAGCAGCACUCCUCUCCUAGUUGGCUCAUCCACCAUUUGCAUCAGAAAGUUAUCAUCAACACACUGGUGGAAGUUCCUGGACUGUGGAUGGCUGGCUGAGCAGGCCCUCCAGCAAAUAUCAGGGUAAUGAAAGUCCUCCACAGUAACCAGGGCCUGUAAUUCAGAGGACACUAUCAGCUGUCUGAAGA